rnacentral:rRNA from 1 species
AAAAUUAGGUAGUUGGUUUUUUAAUAGUCUAACCAAGCCUUCGAUUUUUAAUUGGUUUUAUCGAAUGGCCAGUCACACUGGAACUGAAAUACGGUCCAGAUUCGAUUUGAAUCAGCAGUGGGGAAUAUUGGACAAUGAACGCAAGUUUGAUCCAGCAACAUAACAAAAUUAAGACGGCUUUUGCUGAAAAAUUUAGUUUUUUUAAUUAAAAAUGAUUUAAUUAAAUUACAUUCAGUUCUGUCAAAUACUCGUGCCAGCAGACGCGGUAAUACGGGAAGAGCAAGCGUUAUCAGGUUAAUUUGGCGCAAAGAGUUUGUAGAUUGUAAAAUAAGUUUGUUGUUAAAGUUUAAAAGUUAAUUUUUAAAAAAACAUUAAAUACUAUUUUACUUGAGUUUUAUAUGAAAAAAUGGAAUUUUGAACGGAAAGGUAAAAUUUGUAGAUAUUCAAAGGAACACCCACAGCUAAUGCAAUUUUUUAAUAAAAACUAACAUUGAGAAACGAAAGUUAAGGUAGCAAACAGGAUUUGAUACCCUGGUAGUCUUUACUGUAAAUCAUGAGUGCUAAAAUUUAAAUUAAAACUUUAGAUUUUUAAGUUUGCACAAUAAGCACUCCGCCUGAGAAAUAUAGUUGCAAAGCUGAAACUCAAAGGAACUGACGGGGGCUAUACUAGUGGUGGAGCAUGUGGUUUAAUACGAUAAUCCACGUAAAACCUUACCAAUUUUUGACAUUUUAAUUUUAACUAGUUAGUUAAUUAAAACAGGUGCUGCACGACUGUCGUAAGCCCGUGUCUUAAGAUGUUUGGUUCAUUCCUAAAACGGGCGUAACUCCAAUUUUAUAAAUUAUAAUUUAUUGAAUUUUUAAGUUUUUAGUUUAUUACACUAAAUUUUAAUAGUUUAAUUUUAUAAUUGCAUUUAAUUAUAAAUUAAAAUAAAAGGAAUAAAGAUAAGUCAAUGUGACCCUUAUAAAUUGGGCCACAACAUGUGCUACAAUGAAAACCACAAAAAAUAAAGACAAUUUAACAAAAAAAGUUUUCUUAGUCCGGAUUGCAAACUGAAAUUCGUUUGUAUAAAGCUGGAAUCACUAGUAAUCACAAAUCAUAAUGUUGUGGUGAAUAGUUAUUUGCCUUGUACACACCGCCCGUCACAUGCAAAAAGUUAGUUUUAUUUGAAGUUUUAAUAUUAUUAAUUCAAUUUUAAAACCAACAAUUUGGAUGAAGCCGUAACAAGGUAGCUGUGUGUUAA